CAGAGGUGGCAAGCGUUGUUCGGAAUUACUGGGCGUAAAGGGCGCGUAGGUGGCCUUCUUAGUCAGACGUGAAAUCCCCGGGCUUAACUCGGGAACUGCGUCUGAUACUGGAAGGCUCGAGUUCGGGAGAGGAAUGUGGAAUUCCAGGUGUAGCGGUGAAAUGCGUAGAUAUCUGGAGGAACACCGGUGGCGAAGGCGGCAUUCUGGACCGAAACUGACACUGAGGCGCGAAAGCCAGGGGAGCAAACGGGAUUAGAUACCCCGGUAGUCCUGGCCCUAAACGAUGAGUGCUUGGUGUGGCGGGUAUCGAUCCCUGCCGUGCCGAAGCUAACGCAUUAAGCACUCCGCCUGGGGAGUACGGUCGCAAGGCUG
rnacentral:rRNA from 1 species